UCCUAUUGUAGUAAGUAAAGCCUUCUUGCAAAAAUGAUUGACAGGGAUAUGUGACACAGAAUCACAUGAGAGCCUGAGUCAAGAUUCUAAGGUCCUAACUGAAACCAGACUUCUUGGGGAAGGUUUUGGAGGUAGCUGUGACUUCCACCUAUUCUACAAGAUUUUGUGCCCUUUGUGAGAUACCAACUUGAGAGGAGAGAGAGACUGUUUGAACAGGCUGCUGGCAGCUGGAUUGAAGACCAAAGAAGAACCAUCAAAGAUCUACUGGACCUAAUGUGGACUAGGAUCUUGGCUCAUUUCUGGACUCAUUUUGUGAGGUUCUGUUUGUGGGGAACUUAUUUAACUUAGAUACUGUUCAAGUUAAAAAAGAACCCCGAGAGGCUAAUUGUGAUUUUGCUAGUGGAUGCAAUUAUGACCCUGUCUGUGGCACUGAUGAAAUUACCUAUGCCAAUGAAUGUCUUCUGUGUAUUGUAAAUAAGGGAAGAAAUUUUGAUGCCCUCAUCAGAAAAUCUGGGAAAUGCUAAGAAACCAAAAUAUCUUGGAGCCCCCAGUAGGGUGGUACCAUGGCUAGCCAGCCUGAGUUAUUAAUAAAUACAUGAGAUUGAC
rnacentral:lncRNA from 1 species